AUUGAACGCUGGCGGCAGGCUUAACACAUGCAAGUCGAGCGGAGAUGAGGUGCUUGCACCUUAUCUUAGCGGCGGACGGGUGAGUAAUGCUUAGGAAUCUGCCUAUUAGUGGGGGACAACAUUCCGAAAGGAAUGCUAAUACCGCAUACGUCCUACGGGAGAAAGCAGGGGAUCUUCGGACCUUGCGCUAAUAGAUGAGCCUAAGUCGGAUCAGCUAGUCGGGGGGGUAAAGGCCUACCAAGGCGACGAUCUGUAGCGGGUCUGAGAGGAUGAUCGGCCAAACUGGGACAGAGACACGGCCCAGACUCCUACGGGAGGCAGCAGUGGGGAAUAUUGGACAAUGGGGGGAACCCUGAUCCAGCCAUGCCGCGUGUGUGAAGAAGGCCUUAUGGUUGUAAAGCACUUUAAGCGAGGAGGAGGCUACUGAGACUAAUACUCUUGGAUAGUGGACGUUACUCGCAGAAUAAGCACCGGCUAACUCUGUGCCAGCCGCCGCAGUAAAAC
rnacentral:rRNA from 1 species